GUAUCAAUGAGCGGAGGAAAAGAAACUAACAAGGAUUCCCCUAGUAACUGCGAGUGAAGCGGGAAAAGCUCAAAUUUAAAAUCUGGCGGUCAUUGGCCGUCCGAGUUGUAAUCUAGAGAAGUGCUGCCCGCGCUGGACCGUGUACAAGUCUCCUGGGAUGGAGCGUCAUAGAGGGUGAGAAUCCCGUCUCUGACACGGACUACCAGGGCUUUGUGGUACGCUCUCAAAGAGUCGAGUUGUUUGGGAAUGCAGCUCAAAAUGGGUGGUAAAUUCCAUCUAAAGCUAAAUAUUGGCGAGAGACCGAUAGCGCACAAGUA
rnacentral:rRNA from 1 species